rnacentral:rRNA from 1 species
UAACGAUACCUAUAAGACUGGGAUAACUCCGGGAAACCGGGGCUAAUACCGGAUAACACAUGAAACCGCAUGGUUUCAUGAUGAAAGACGGUUUUGCUGUCACUUAUAGAUGGACCCGCGGCGUAUUAGCUAGUUGGUAAGGUAACGGCUUACCAAGGCAACGAUACGUAGCCGACCUGAGAGGGUGAUCGGCCACACUGGAACUGAGACACGGUCCAG